UUUAAAAUUUGACCUGCCCAAUGAAAUAUUAAAUGGCCGCAGUAAUUUGACUGUGCAAAGGUAGCAUAAUCAUUAGUUUUUUAAUUGAAAGCUUGUAUGAAUGGUUGGACGAGAAAAUGACUGUCUCAAUCUUAAUGUAUUAGAAUUUUAUUUUUAAGUUAAAAAGCUUAAAUGAAAUUAAAAGACGAGAAGACCCUAUAGAGUUUAAUAUAAUUAUAAAUAAAUAUGGUUUGGGAUUAAUUGUACUUUUAUUAAUAGUUGUAUUUUGUUGGGGUGAUAGUAAAAUUUAAUUAACUUUUAUUUUUUAUUUACAUUGAUUUAUGGUUAAAUGAUCCAUUUUUUAUGAUUAGAAGAUUAAAUUACCUUAGGGAUAACAGCGUUAUUUUUUUUGAGAGUUCUUAUUGAUAAAAGAGUUUGCGACCUCGAUGUUGGAUUAAAGUUAACUUUUGGUGCAGUAGUUAAAAAGUUAGGUCUGUUCGACCUUUAAAAUUUUACAUGAUCUGAGUUUAAACCGGUGUGAGCCAGGUUGGUUUCUAUCUUUAAUUAAUUUCUAUAUCUUAGUACGAAAGGACUUGAUAUAGGUAUAAUUUAUUUAAUUGAUGAAUAUGAUUA
rnacentral:rRNA from 2 species